rnacentral:rRNA from 1 species
GACGGGGGUUCCUAGCGUUGUUCGGAGUUAUUGGGCGUAAAGCGGAUUAAGGUGGCUUUGUAAGUCAGGAGUGAAAGCCCUGGGCUCAACCCAGGAAGUGCUUUUGAAACUGCUUAGCUUGAGUGCCGUAGAGGUGGCUAGAAUUCCUGGUGUAGAGGUGAAAUUCGUAGAUAUCAGGAGGAAUACCGGAGGGGAAGCCGGGUCACUGGACGGACACUGACACUCAUAUCCGAAAGCGUGGGGAUCAAACAGG